GUGUCAGCAGCCGCGGUAAUACGAAGGGGGCUAGCGUUGUUCGGAAUUACUGGGCGUAAAGCGCACGUAGGCGGACCAUUAAGUCAGGGGUGAAAUCCCGGAGCUCAACUCCGGAACUGCCUUUGAUACUGGUGGUCUAGAGACCGAGAGAGGUGAGUGGAACUCCUAGUGUAGAGGUGGAAUUCGUAGAUAUUAGGAAGAACACCAGUGGCGAAGGCGGCUCACUGGCUCGGAACUGACGCUGAGGUGCGAAAGCGUGGGGAGCAAACAGGAUUAGAUACCCUAGUAGUCC
rnacentral:rRNA from 1 species